GUCCGUCUGACGAGUUCCAAAUAGGACGAAAUGCGCAUCAUGAAU
rnacentral:hammerhead_ribozyme from 1 species